rnacentral:rRNA from 16 species
GCGCUUGAACAAGGAAUGCCUGGAAAGUGCACGUCAUCCGCUUGCACUGAUGACGCCCCUGCCAUUU